UUUGAUUUGAUGGCUUAGUAUGAAUUCAGGAGCACAUGGCCUGGAAUGCGGUGGUGGCACAAAAGGGGUUUUUUUGUCCGUGGGUGAGGUUGCAUUUCUUGAACAACCAUGGCACCUACCGCCCAUUUAUGGACGGCAUGACUCGAAAUACUAGAAGGAUCAAUCUUUACUAGUAUCUUUUUGUACCCCGCAAAAACUACGAUGUCCAAGUGUGAUACUUGAGGGUUUUAGCACAGAAGCCCUAAGAGUUGAUUGACUGCAGCCUAUGUUCUGUUCAAGAUACACCCGUAUCCAAUCAAGGACAUCUGCAUCCGGUCUCGCAUGUCAUUUUCCUUGACCUAACCCAUAACAUCAACGGUGGGGUGAAACAGGGGAAUCACCAUAUAUCGACCGGUAGGCUUGCCUUCAUCGUCUUUUACGAGCGAGUCUAUGACGCCCUUGUGUCGGUAUGGAUCUAUUAUCAAUAACGGUCGUUAAUCUCAAUCCCAUAUAAUAUCUAGGUAGGUGGGUGAGGAGGAGGGCAUACCGUCGAUAGGACUGUACUCAAUCCACUGUCCAGGCUUGAAUCUCGGCAUAUUUGUUGGCGGUUGAUCGAAACGAAGCACAAAACACAGCAAAAUCAGGACGAAUAAAUAUCAUUAAUUGGUCUAGCUAAUGCCUAAAUACAAAACACAAAAGAAAGAAAGAAAUAAACCGCGCAUCAAAAAUAGACUCUCUCAGUAUGAUUAAGAAUGAUAUCAUGUGGUGGUGGCAUUCAAUGUUUUUUUGUCCGUACCUACCUACAACCACGGUACCUCUAGUGGUUAGGUUAGGGUUACCGGUAACCACAAAGACAAAAAGAAAGAUGACGGAAGCGUGGUUCGAACACGCGCCACUUUCGUGAGUAGGGAGCUUGGUGAUUUUGAAACAAUCACAGCCUUAAAUCUACCGCCUUGGACCACUCGGCCAUUCCGCCUGAUAUAAUAAUUUGCCAACUCCGGGUUGGGUCUAAGAGACUGAAAGAUAGAAUAUGAGAGGUUAGUUAGGGUUAUGAAUAGUAUUCUAUUACGGUAGCCCUAUCUAUAACUCGACGGCAAGAGUCGUGUCAGGGCUGGUCGGGUGUGGUCUAGGAUAGGGAUUGAAUGUGUGAU
rnacentral:tRNA from 1 species